rnacentral:rRNA from 1 species
UGGGGAAUUUUGGACAAUGGGCGAAAGCCUGAUCCAGCAAUGCCGCGUGUGUGAAGAAGGCCUUCGGGUUGUAAAGCACUUUUGUCCGGAAAGAAAUGGCUCUGGUUAAUACCUGGGGUCGAUGACGGUACCGGAAGAAUAAGGACCGGCUAACUACGUGCCAGCAGCCGCGGUAAUACGUAGGGUCCAAGCGUUAAUCGGAAUUACUGGGCGUAAAGCGUGCGCAGGCGGUUGUGCAAGACCGAUGUGAAAUCCCCGAGCUUAACUUGGGAAUUGCAUUGGUGACUGCACGGCUAGAGUGUGUCAGAGGGGGGUAGAAUUCCACGUGUAGCAGUGAAAUGCGUAGAGAUGUGGAGGAAUACCGAUGGCGAAGGCAGCCCCCUGGGAUAACACUGACGCUCAUGCACGAAAGCGUGGGGAGCAAACAGGAUUAGAUACCCUGGUAGUCCACGCCCUAAACGAUGUCAACUAGUUGUUGGGGAUUCAUUUCCUUAGUACGUAGCUAACGCGUGAAGUUGACCGCCUGGGGAGUACGGUCGCAAGA